GUGGGGAAUAUUGCGCAAUGGGCGGAAGCCUGACGCAGCGACGCCGCGUGGGGGAUGACGGCCUUCGGGUUGUAAACCUCUUUCGACUUCGACGAAGCCUUCGGGUGACGGUAGGGGUGGAAGAAGCACCGGCCAACUACGUGCCAGCAGCCGCGGUAAUACGUAGGGUGCGAGCGUUGUCCGGAAUUAUUGGGCGUAAAGAGCUCGUAGGCGGUGUGUUACGUCGGCCGUGAAAACCUGCAGCUUAACUGUGGGCGUGCGGUCGAUACGGGCAUCACUGGAGUUCGGCAGGGGAGACUGGAAUUCCUGGUGUAGCGGUGAAAUGCGCAGAUAUCAGGAGGAACACCGGUGGCGAAGGCGGGUCUCUGGGCCGAUACUGACGCUGAGGAGCGAAAGCGUGGGGAGCAAACAGGAUUAGAUACCCUAGUAGUCC
rnacentral:rRNA from 1 species